rnacentral:tRNA from 1 species
GGAGGCGUUCGGGUGGCUGGUGCCCCCCGCGGUCUUCAAAACCGUAGUGGCCGAGGAUCUCGGUCAGGCGGGUUCGAUUCCCGUCCGCCUCCGCCG